ACAUACGACCAGAGGUUCAAGACCGCGACGGAUCCCGUUCGAUCUCCGAUAUCUAAGCUUGUGACCGGCUUGUUAGUAGUUGGGCGGGAGACCACCAGCGAAUCCGAGCUGUUGUAUGUU
rnacentral:rRNA from 1 species